rnacentral:rRNA from 1 species
AGCAGCCGCGGUAAUUCCAGCUCCAAUAGCGUAUAUUAAAGUUGUUGCAGUUAAAAAGCUCGUAGUUGAAUUUCGGGGUUAGUAAGUUGGUCAUGCCAUUGGUAUGCACUGGCUUUACUGAUUCCUCCUUCUUGACGAACCGUGAUGUCAUUAAUUUGGUGUUGCGGGAAAUCAGGACUGUUACUUUGAAAAAAUUAGAGUGUUUAAAGCAGGCUUACGCUUGAAUACAUUAGCAUGGAAUAAUGAAAUAGGACGUUAAUCCUAUUUUGUUGGUUUCUAGGAUCGACGUAAUGAUUAAUAGGGAUAGUUGGGGGCAUUAGUAUUCAAUUGUCAGAGGUGAAAUUCUUGGAUUUAUUGAAGACUAACUACUGCGAAAGCAUUUGCCAAGGAUGUUUUCAUUAAUCAAGAACGAAAGUUAGGGGAUCGAAGACGAUCAGAUACCGUCGUAGUCUUAACCAUAAACUAUGCCGACUAGGGAUCGGAUGAUGUUAAUUCUUUAAUGACUCA